rnacentral:miRNA from 1 species
GCUAGGCAGUGCACAGCGAUA